rnacentral:ribozyme from 1 species
AGUUAAAAAAACGUGGUGGUACAAAGGUUAUUGCAAAAUAAUUUUUAUUUUCCAUUUUUCUUUCAUUCUCUUUCUCCUUCUUAUCUCCUC